AGAGUUCGAUCCUGGCUCAGAACGAACGCUGGCGGCAGGCCUAACACAUGCAAGUCGAGCGCGCCUUCGGGCGAGCGGCGGACGGGUUAGUAACGCGUGGGAACGUGCCCAGAUCUACGGAAUAGCCACUGGAAACGGUGAGUAAUACCGUAUACGCCCUUAGGGGGAAAGAUUUAUCGGAUUUGGAUCGGCCCGCGUUAGAUUAGGUAGUUGGUGGGGUAACGGCCUACCAAGCCUACGAUCUAUAGCUGGUUUUAGAGGAUGAUCAGCAACACUGGGACUGAGACACGGCCCAGACUCCUACGGGAGGCAGCAGUGGGGAAUCUUGGACGAUGGGGGAAACCCUGAUCCAGCCAUGCCGCGUGAGUGAAGAAGGCCCUAGGGUCGUAAAACUCUUUCGCCUGUGAUGAUAAUGACAGUAGCAGGUAAAGAAACCCCGGCUAACUCCGUGCCAGCCGCCGCGGUAAU
rnacentral:rRNA from 1 species